rnacentral:rRNA from 1 species
GACGAACGCUGGCGGCGUGCUUAACACAUGCGAGUCGAACGGAAAGGCCCUGCUUUUGUGGGGUGCUCGAGUGGCGAACGGGUGAGUAACACGUGAGUAACCUGUCCUUGACUUUGGGAUAACUUCAGGAAACUGGGGCUAAUACCGGAUAGGAGCUCCUGCUGCAUGGUGGGGGUUGGAAAGUUUCGGCGGUUGGGGAUGGACUCGCGGCUUAUCAGCUUGUUGGUGGGGUAGUGGCUUACCAAGGCUUUGACGGGUAGCCGGCCUGAGAGGGUGACCGGCCACAUUGGGACUGAGAUACGGCCCAGACUCCUACGGGAGGCAGCAGUGGGGAAUAUUGCACAAUGGGCGGAAGCCUGAUGCAGCAACGCCGCGUGCGGGAUGACGGCCUUCGGGUUGUAAACCGCUUUCGCCUGUGACGAAGCGUGAGUGACGGUAAUGGGUAAAGAAGCACCGGCUAACUACGUG